rnacentral:lncRNA from 1 species
AAUCAAGUGAAGCAGCUAUCACAGGGUCUGGAACAUAAAAUAAUCAUGAGGCCCAAAACACUUCCUGAAUGAAAGAGAACCUGCAUUGAAUUUUGUUCUGUGGUGAAUGGUACAUCCCAGCCUUCUUGCACAUAGAAACACUACACAGCACUUCAGCUGUAUGUUUGGGGGCCAUUUUAAACAGCAAAAUCAUCAACAGGAAGCAGAAAAUUGUAAAAAUUGUGGCACUAAAUAGACCAUGUAAAGGACACAUGUUUGCAAUAAGAAAGCUGAAACAAGAAGGGGGAGUGUCACCUUAUUUGAUCCAGCUAGAAACUCAGGUGCUGGUAUUCCAGCAACACUCAGGCGGCUGCUCCAGGAGGCUGCAGAGGGGUCCUUUUUAGCCGUCAACAAAACUGGCUAUGGUCACGCCCAUUGGGAAACUCAUUGCUGCCUUCAAGGUGGAAGUUAAAGUCAUCACAGUUCUUUCAUGAAAGGAGAAAACUUCUACAUAGAAGAUGAGAAGCUUCUUUGGGGCAGAGACUAUAGACUCAGAAGCUGUAGGAAUAUUCAGGCACAGACACCAGACCCAGCUUCAUCUCUAACUUGUGGCAAAGGACAGUACAUCCUGGGAUGGGACCCUAUGCUCCCCUAUGCCAUUUAGACAGAGCCUGGGGAGAGUGACUUCCCAGGGUAUCCAUGUUGGAAUCUCUCAUUUGAUUCUUAUUCAAAUUUAGGUUCUGUCAAUAGAAGAUACUAAAGAAAGAAAGCCAGGAGAAGAAAAGGGACUUCUUUCUUCAAGGUCUAAGCUGUUCUAAUAGCAUUAUUCUGGGAAUGGCAUCUUCCACUCCUCCUAGUACAAAGAACCUGCUUCCUCAUACCCCGUCAAGGAACUGCAGCAUCCAGGUGAUGGCCACAGUGGCAGAACCUAGGAAGCCAAGAAGAAACCAGAGAAUGGAGACACAUGGCAGCAAUGGCAAGUCAUCAGACCCAGGAUUUCCCAAAGAACACUGGUCCAGGAAGAUGCUCUGUGAAAAAGUGUUCCCUGGUCGGAGAAAUUUGUGAAACACUUUGCAUAAUACUUAAAAGAAUGUAUGGCACAUCAAAGGUAAUAUGCAAUAAAAGAAUUCAUUUUUUUAAAACCAAGCAUA